CCUACGGGUGGCAGCAGUGAGGAAUAUUGGUCAAUGGACGAGAGUCUGAACCAGCCAAGUAGCGUGAAGGAUGACUGCCCUAUGGGUUGUAAACUUCUUUUAUAAAGGAAUAAAACGAGGCACGUGUGCCUUUUUGCAUGUACUUUAUGAAUAAGGAUCGGCUAACUCCGUGCCAGCAGCCGCGGUAAUACGGAGGAUCCGAGCGUUAUCCGGAUUUAUUGGGUUUAAAGGGGGCGUAGAUGGGUUGUUAAGUCAGUUGUGAAAGUUUGCGGCUCAACCGUAAAAUUGCAAUUGAUACUGGCAGUCGUGAGUACAGUUGAGGUAGGCGGAAUGCGUGGUGUAGCGGUGAAAUGCUUAGAUAUCACGAAGAACCCCGAUUGCGAAGGCAGCUUACUAAACUGUGACUGACAUUGAUGCUCGAAAGUGUGGGUAUCAAACAGGAUUAGAUAUCCGGGUAGUC
rnacentral:rRNA from 1 species